CCUGUCUUGCCCUCUGCCAUGCACCCAGGUGGUCUCCUCCCAGCAGGUGCAAUGGUGAGGUCACUCUGGUCUUCUGCGCACCUCACAGGAUUAGGAGCCAUGCUGAGUCCCCUUGCCUUUCUGGGCGCCUUCCUGUUUCUGGGCGGCCUGGCGGAAACCAGACUGGAGCAGCCGGCCUUGAUCAUGGCGCGAACCGGCAGCUCGGCCAUCCUGUCAUGCAGGGCGAGAACCAAGGUCAGCUACAUCCACUGGUACCGCCACCAGGAGGGCAAGGCUGUUCAGAGGCUCCUCAUAGUGGCACUGUACAGAUCAUAUGUACAAACGGAUUCGAUCCUGAAAGGGGACAAGGUCACGGCCAAGAGGGGCACGGAUGGCAGCAGCUGUAACCUGUUGCUGCUAAAGCUGGAGAAGAGUGACGAGGGCGUGUAUUACUGUGCUUGGAAUGGGUAUGGCUGGAAGAACCACAAAGUGUUCGGUCCUGGCACACUGCUCAGGGUUACAGAUAAAAGUCCUGAUGAGGACACUUCCCCCAAGCCCACAAUUUUUCUUCCUUCAGUUGCUGAAAGAAAACUUCAUAAGGCUGGAACAUAUCUUUGUCUUCUUGAGGAUUUUUUCCCUGAUGUUAUCAAGAUAGAUUGGAAAGAGAAAAAUGGCAGAGCAAUUCUGAAAUCCCAGCAGGGAAACACAAUGAAGACGAAGGACACAUACAUGAAAUACACCUGGCUGACCGUGAGUGAAGAGUCAAUGGGUAAAGAACACAAAUGUGUCAUCAGACAUGAGAAGAAUAAAGGAGGCGUUGAUCAAGAGAUUCUGUUUCCUUCAAUAAACACAGAUUUGGUGGCAGUGACAGGAUCUGAAGUGGACAUCCACGGGCAUUUAGAGACAACGCGAAACACAAGGGUGGUAACUGUGAACCCUUGGAGUUCACUAUAUUCCUCACCGCUUUCAAGGGCUAUAGAUCUCACUGUUAUUAACUCUACAAAACCUUCUCUGAAAGAUGAAAAUGACCCCCUGCAGCUGCAGCUCGUGAACACUUCUGCCUACUGCACCUACCUCCUCCUCCUCGUCAAGAGCAUGGUCUACACUGUCAUCACCGCCAUCUGUCUGCUUGGGAGAGCGGCACUCUGUGACAAUGGGAAGAGUUCCUGACCCGUGGUGGCACAGGGUCCAUGUUUCUCCAUUGACUAUUGUCACUAAAAGUGUCUGCUAAGGGUCUAGCGGGGCUUUCUUUCUGGGUGGUUCAUUUCAGUUCACACGUUGUCUUUUUCUAUGUGUCAUCAUUGCAGAAUGGGUUUGCAAACUCCUGGGCAAACAGGAAAUGUCACUCUGCACCAAGAACAGACUCUGCCAUGAGUCAGGGGCGGGGCCGGGGGGCACCCACGGGGGCUUCAGCACCGCUCUCUCCUUCACGCCCACUAGCCCGUCAGCCACCCAGCACCCUCACCUCUGAGUACAGCCGGCGUGCAGCUUCUAUAGUGGCCCCUGGGGCUCUGUAUCCAGAUAACUGCCUGGAGAGCUUUUAUUUUACAUUUCUGGAAGCUGCCAUCUUUGCUACCUGAGUUUUGUUAUGUUUUUCAUAAUAGGCACAAUAAAAACAAU